AAAUUUGUUAUUUUGCACCCUCGGUUUCGGAGUUGUAAUUUCUAGAAGUGUUUUCCUCGUUGGACCGCCCACCAGUCUUUUGGAAUACAGCGCCAUAGUGGUGAGACCCCAUUCCCCGGUGCGGACGCCCAGCCCUUUGUGAUUCACUUUCUUCGAGUCGAGUUGUUUGGGAAUGCAGCUCAAAUUGGGUGGUAAAUUCCAUCUAAAGCUAAAUAUUGGCGAGAGGCCGAUAGCGAACAAGUCCCGUGAGGGAAAGAUGAAAAGCACUUUGGAAAGAGAGUUAAAAGUACGUGAAAUUGUUGGAAGGGAAACGCUUGAAGUCAGACUUGCUUUCCGGGCUUGCUCGGUUUGCAGGCCAGCAUCAGUUUUCCGGGGCGGAUAAGGCAGUUAGAAGG
rnacentral:rRNA from 1 species